rnacentral:misc_RNA from 1 species
GAUGAAGAACGCAGCGAAAUGCGAUAAGUAAUGUGAAUUGCAGAAUUCAGUGAAUCAUCGAAUCUUUGAACGCACCUUGCGCCCUUUGGCCAUUCCGAAGGGCAUGCCUGUUUGAGUAUCAUGAACACCUCAACUCUUUAUGGUUUUCCAUGAUGAGCUUGGACUCUGGGGGUUUUGCUGGCUCACAGUCGGCUCCUCUAAAAUAAAUCAGCUUACCAGUGUUUGGUGGCGUCACGGGUGUGAUAACUAUCUACGCCUGUGGUUUUCUGCCAGAGAACCUUCAGCGAUGGAGGUUCGCUGGGGCUCAUAAAUGUCUCUCUUCAGUGGAGACAGCUUUUUGGACGUUUGCUCUCAAAUCAGGUAGGACUACCCGCUGAACUUAAGCAUAUCAAUAAGCGGAGGA